rnacentral:lncRNA from 1 species
UCAAAUCCUAUUUUCUCUCAAAUUCUCUCUAAACUCUAGCAGCCUACCUUCGUCUCCGAUAAAAAUCCACCGGCGUCCAUGGCUUCUCAGGCCGUGGACGACCUAUAUUCUCCCCCUUUCACCUCAUGCCGUGAUUAUUCUAGCUGCCAAGGCUCAAGCUUCAAUGGACUUAUCCAGGUCCUCCACCUACCUGAGCUCCUUUGGCUUGUACGUCUUCGUUCCGGUGUGUUGGAACUCUAAAAAACUUAGCUAUGGUCCAUAUUCGUUCAGAGACCAGACAAUUCCAGGCCUUCUCUUCUCUAUGGUUUUUGAGAAACCCUAAAAUGCUUGAUUCGAGGUUUCGCUUUCCUUAUUUACUUAGAUCUGUAGAAGAAAUAUGAUAUAUUCAGUAUUUUAAUGAUUUUCCAUAAUUUUCCUUUUUAAAAUUUUCUGUUCAAAUUAAGGUUUUAAAAAUCCCAAAACGAUUCUUCUUCUUCUUCUUCUUCUUAAUUUAUGUGAAUCUAUGUGUUCAUGCCAUGUUUGAGGGAUUUUCGUUUGUUUCUUAUGAUUUUUCAUUAAUAUGCAUGUCUCUCUGCCUUUGUUGUGUUACUAUUUCUGCUGAUUUUUCCAUAAGCAUGUUUAUGCGUCUAUCUUUCCUACUGAAAGUGUUUACUUUUAUUGAAUCUAUUUGGGUUAUCGAACUUGCUUCUUUCACUGUUUCCUAAACUCCUAUGGCAUCCCUUCUCUGAACUAGUUUGAGUUUUUGGCUUCCUAAAACUUGUUCUUUACAUGCUUUCACUCUAGUGCUUUUGAUUGCUACAUGUGUCUGUGAUUCGUGCUAGCUUUUGGUUCUAGGGUUCAACCCUAGGCUCUCUAACUCAUGUUGAGUUCAUAGACUUAAUUAGAACUUGAUUUUAUUUUGCGUAUGAUUCAAAAACUGUUUAUGCCGAUCUCUUCUUCUUUGCUUGAUGUUAGCAUGCUUAUAUACAAGGGUUUUUCUUCUAAAUUGAUUCUAUUAGCUUGUGAUUGAUUUCAAUCUCCUUAUACUAAGGCUCGAUUGAUUUUCUACUGGUUUUUACAACUCAGCCUUUUCCCUGUUUUCCUGACUAAGUUCAUUCCAGGUUUUUGAAUUUCCCACUGUUUGAUUAUUCAUUUCCUUAUUCUUUCAAAAACGUGUACUAUAGUGUCGUACCUUAAAUAGAUUCUAUGUCCACCUUCCCUUUAUUCUAUUACUCUAAAAGGUUUUCCCUUCCUUAAUUACCACUCAUGUUUGAAAUCAAAUCCUUUUGACUAAGGAAGAUUUUAUUUGAUUAAGCGAGAUUUUAUUUCCUUGCCUUCUUGUCUACUCUUUUUUGCACUAUUAAAGCUCACAACACACACAAGUUUCAGACAACACAAGUUUUUACACAAAACACUCGAACACAACACAGUUCUCAGAAUUAUUUCUGCACCCUUGCAAUACAUAAUCACCCCUGUCUUGCUUUACUAUUUUCUCUACUACUACUCUCUCUACUACUACCUUCUCUACUGCUACCGAGCACUCUGCUCCUUUAUCUCCUACUGUCUAAAUAUUUCUUGAGUUCCCUAUGAACUCCCAAGUACUUGCUGAAGUUUUCUGCUAACUAUCUGGCUGUCUACUCGCUGUUGUGUCUCUGUUAUUCUAGAACUAAAAACUGGUAUGUACUUCUAAGUUAAAUAACCUCUCCUACUAUGUGUAUUCACUUAUCUCCUUCUACCCUUUCUUCACUCUGUGUUUAUGUUCUAUAGCAUGUUCUCCUAUGUGUUUGCACCUGCAGUCUACUAUGCUUUCUUAUAUUUUUAAUGUCAGUAUGCUUUUGUAUGGAAAUCCCCUCCCCCCUAUUCCCCUUUUGUGUGCUAGGAUUGUUCUAAAUCAUUGCAGCAUCUGACAUUGCUGUCCAUGAUCCAGAAUCAGACUCUCCUGAGUCUCCACUCAAAUGCUUUCCCAUUCCAUCUUCCCUUUUAUGUGUUGAGCUUUAACAUGGGUCUGGCAGUGUCCUAAUCACCACUCAGACCAUAAUUGUUACUCCCCAGAGUGUACUCCUAUUUGUUUGACCUGAGAAAAGGGUCAGGGGUGUGCCAGCUUAUGCCAUGGAUGGGUAUGACCACCCUCUGCUAUGGUUACCCUCUCACUUUACACUCAUUCCUAUUUCUUAAGUUCUACCCCCUUUGGUAAGCCAUUCUUAGGGGUACUUGAGUUCUCUCUGAACUUGGAUGCUUGAGGGCUGGUAAUUCCACAAUUGCACUAUUCUGUUACAAUGUUCAUUUCUCAGAGUGUAAGUAUUGACUGGGCUCUUGAAGCUCCUUGGAACUUUGAACACUCUGAAUUAGAAAGGUCUUGGAAUCUGCAAUCCGGAUUUAGUGAAACACAUAUAUUGGAUAUUAAGAUUGAAUUAGGCUUCUUAGAUCUAGCUAUGGGCUUUGAUGUAUUUUUUUUACCUUCUUUCUUCUAAUUUUGUAAUAACCUUGUAAAAAAGGACUCAGGGGUACAUUUGUAAAGGGUAUGAGAGGGG